AAUGAACAGCGCAUUUCCAUUAUAUAAUAUAUAAUGAAAAGCGCAUUUCCAUUAUAUAUUAAAUAACGAUUGUGUAUGCAAAUGUCAAUGGUUGGUAACGCCCAUAAUAUGAAUAUUCAUGAGCUUGACUGAUAUUAUUAUCCUCUAUUCCAGGCACCUUUCCAUUUUGUGUUCUUUGUGCAUUCUUAUCAGAAAUCCUACGUGCGGUAAAUAAGUCUCUGUAUCACCAUUCUCCUUCUUAUUUGUAUGCAGAUUUGGUUAUAAUGAUUGAUAACUGUAAUCAUCCUCAUUAUUUUAAUAAUAAAUUUUUCUAUCUGUGAUGGAAGUUUUUAUGUACGAUUGCCUGAUCUGAAGACAAGACUUUCGCUGCAUGCAUAUUUAAUGUAUGACGUCACCCACACAGAGUGAGAGCUCGAGGUUUUCUUUGAAAGUUUGAUGGAAAAUGUACAGAGACACUUGUUGCAGUUAAUGCAUGCAGUACCAAAUGCUUGCUUUCUUGGAGUAUGUGCUUGAAACAAGAAUGUCCUGGAGAAAACAGACCACC